rnacentral:lncRNA from 10 species
UGAUCCUACCACCUCAGCCUCCCAAGUAGCUGGGAUUACAGGCACGCACCACAAUGCCCGGUGAAUUUUGUUUAUUUUUUAGUAGAGAUGAAGUCUCACUUUAUUGCCCAAGCUGGUCUCAAACUCCUGGACUCAAGCGAUCUGCCUGCCUUGGCCUCCCAAAGUGCUGGGAUUCUGGGUGUGAACCACCGUGCGCAGCCACAUUGUAUUAUUCAGCACAAUGAUCUAUUGCCCAAGCACUCUGAAAAUGUCUUAAAUUCUGGUGCCACUACCAACUAUCUGGUGCCCUUGGGCGAGUCACUCCAUCUCUCUGUGCCUCGGUUUGCUCAUCAGUAAAAUGGGUAUGAUAGUAAUAACUAGGUUUUCUCUGUUGAGUUGUCAUGAGGAUUAAAUGAGUUCUAGAUCCAAAAUGUGUAGAAAUGUGCCUGACACAACAGUUGUCUAUCCAGUUCCCAGUUCUGAAGGAGACAGAGGUCUUAGGUCUGGGCACAAAAUGGAUUCAUCCUUCAGCCCUGGGUUGGCAUGACCCCUAGAACUCUUUGUGGGCUAGCAUUGCCAUUCAGCCCUUAGUGCUGAGGAUGUUGAGGGGCCUUGGAGGAGAGCCCACUGGACAUUUCUAGUGAAAACCAGGACCUCUUGGACCUGGCUUCGUGGGGGUUAAGUCCAACCAGAACGUGUUUAUUUUCCCCUGUGUCUGGAAGGGCCUCUCCGGUCUCCAUGGCAACGCGAUUUCCUGUCCUGGUUUUCUCUUGGAUGAGAUACCUGCUGAAUGCAGAGGCGUCUGGGCAAAAGCCUGGGGUGGAGACGGGCUCUGGGGCAGUUCACUUUAACCACUUCCCUCACGCGAGCCGAGAGGCCAGCCUGGCCAGGACCCAUGUCACCAGAGCCUUUGUUCACCAAGUCCAGACAUCCAAUUUAGGAUGACAUCAUGGAAUCCAGCCUGGAAUCCUUGUUAUGCCCCAUUUUCUUUCUUUCUUCCUUUCCAAGGGUUUUGUUUCUUCUUGAGGCUGCAGAAACAGAGGCUCACACACAU